AUUGAACGCUGGCGGCAGGCCUAACACAUGCAAGUCGAACGAGUGGCGGACGGGUGAGUAAUGUCUGGGAAACUGCCCGAUGGUGGGGGAUAACUACUGGAAACGGUAGCUAAUACCGCAUACCAUCGGAUGUGCCACGCUGGGAUUAGCUCUUAGGUUGGGUAACGGCUCACCUAGGCCACGAGCCCUAGCUGGUCUGAUGGGAUGACCAGCCACACUGGAACUGCGACACGGGCCAGACUCCUACGGGAGGCAGCAGUGGGGAAUAUUGCACAAUGGGCGAAAGCCUGAUGCAGCCAUGCCGCGUGUAUGAAGAAGGCCUGCGGUUUGUAAAGUACUUUAAGCGAGGAGGCGUUACUCGCAGAAGAAGCACCGGCUAACUCCGUGCCAGCAGCCGCGGGAAUAC
rnacentral:rRNA from 1 species